rnacentral:misc_RNA from 1 species
UCCGAGUUGACCCCGGCAGUCUCGCAUGAGUCCCCGGCCCUCCGAAGAGGCCGCUGGCAACAUGCGACAAGGGUUGCGCUCGUUGCGGGACUUAACCCAACAUCUCACGACACGAGCUGACGACAGCCAUGCACCACCUGUACACCGACAAAAAGGGCACCCAUCUCUGGAUGUCUCCGGCGUAUGUCAAACCCAGGUAAGGUUCUUCGCGUUGCAUCGAAUUAAUCCGCAUACUCCACCGCUUGUGCGGGCCCCCGUCAAUUCCUUUGAGUUUCAGUCUUGCGACCGUACUCCCCAGGCGGCGAACUUAACGCGUUAGCCUCGACACUGAGCUCCGAGUUGAGCCCAACAUCCAGUUCGCAUCGUUUAGGGCGUGGACUAC